rnacentral:rRNA from 1 species
GACAGAGGAUGCAAGCGUUAUCCGGAAUGAUUGGGCGUAAAGCGUCUGUAGGUGGCUUUUUAAGUUCGCCGUCAAAUCCCAGGGCUCAACCCUGGACAGGUGGUGGAAACUACCAGGCUAGAGUACGGUAGGGGCAGAGGGAAUUUCCGGUGGAGCGAUGAAAUGCGUAGAGAUCGGAAGGAACACCCAAGGCGAAAGCACUCUGCUGGGCCGACACUGACACUGAGAGACGAAAGCUAGGGGAGCAAAUGGG